GACAGAGGAUGCAAGCGUUAUCCGGAAUGAUUGGGCGUAAAGCGUCUGUAGGGGGCUUUUCAAGUCCGCCGUCAAAUCCCAGGGCUCAACCCUGGACAGGCGGUGGAAACUACCAAGCUGGAGUACGGUAGGGGCAGAGGGAAUUUCCGGUGGAGCGGUGAAAUGCGCAGAUAUCGGGAGGAACACCGGUGGCGAAGGCGGUUCUCUGGGCCUGUACUGACGCUGAGGAGCGAAAGCGUGGGGAGCGAACAGG
rnacentral:rRNA from 1 species